AUUGAACGCUGGCGGCAGGCCUAACACAUGCAAGUCGAGCGGUAGAGAGAAGCUUGCUUCUCUUGAGAGCGGCGGACGGGUGAGUAAUGCCUAGGAAUCUGCCUGGUAGUGGGGGAUAACGUUCGGAAACGGACGCUAAUACUGCAUACGUCCUACGGGAGAAAGCAGGGGACCUUCGGGCCUUGCGCUAUCAGAUGAGCCUAGGUCGGAUUAGCUAGUUGGUGGGGUAAUGGCUCACCAAGGCGACGAUCCGUAACUGGUCUGAGAGGAUGAUCAGUCAAACUGGAACUGAGACACGGUCAAGACUCCUACGGGGGGCAGCAGUGGGGAAUAUUGGACAAUGGGCGAAAGCCUAAUCCAGCCAUGCCGCGUGUGUGAAGAAGGUCUUCGGAUUGUAAAGCACUUUAAGUUGGGAGGAAGGGCAGUAAAUUAAUACUUUGCUGUUUUGACGUUACCGACAGAAUAAGCACCGGCUAACUCUGUGCCAGCAGCCGCCGUAA
rnacentral:rRNA from 1 species